rnacentral:rRNA from 1 species
CAGGUGUAAAUACGGUGACGUAUGUAGCCGAGCAGUACUAAUUACCCAAAACUUUUAAGUUGGGGAGUUCAAUCUCCACACUGAAGCAUUAUUACAAUGAGCAAUGAUCAAUUAUCAAAGAUCAAUAAAUGUAAGUUUUCUUUUUGAAUCUUUUCCAAUAUGUUAACGAUAUUGCCUUCAAAUCCCCCUCCUUUGGGAGGGGUUAGGGGAGGCCCUCAUUAAGGUGGUUUUAGCAACAGGGUUCCACCUCUUCCCAUUCCGAACAGAGAAGUUAAGCCUGUUAGCGCCGAUGGUACUGCGUAAAAGCGGGAGAGUAGGUCGCCGCCGACC